AAUCAGUUGUAUACGAACGUUUCCGUUCGGUUUUAUAAUAAUUUCACUGGCUCGACAUGCUGGAACUACACAAUAUACGCCCCCGACCGCGCGAUGACCGCGCAUCCGUGUACCGUUUGUUUUAACCACCUGUUUGCUCGCUGCACAUAUUCCGUUUCCUAUUAUGCGUAACGUUUUAAUUAUCUAUACCGGGACCGCGUUAAAAACGUCGAACCGUAUACAAAUUAUUAUUGAUAAUAUAUUAUUUUCGUUUAUCGAAAGGAAAAAAAAAAAUGUGGCAAAAAUUAAUGAAACGAAACGAUGCGGCGGGUACGAUAUUUAUUAUAUUCGGACGGACGGCGACGUAGCUCAAAAACCCCAAUCAUCGUAAUGGUCAAAAUAUUAUUAGAAAAAAAAAAACCUUAAUAAAUACGAAUAUCAAGAGGAAAUCGUUCAAAUUCAAAUUUAUGUUUCAAUCCCCGUGUACGCCAUGAAACAUUGUUUUGUUUUACAUUAAAUAAUCAUAGGCUAGUAACGAAAUUAGUCUUAUUUCU